rnacentral:lncRNA from 1 species
GAAUCCUACCUGGCUGGCACCUUGAUCUUGGACUUCCUAGCAUCCAGAAAUGUGACAUGGUUUUCUGGUGCCUUGGCAACUGCUCACGAUGCAUGGGAAGACUAAACACUUUGUGUACAGCAUUCUGUCUCAUCCAGUGAAGACUUCCUCUGGAUUAUUGCAGCAGACACCUCUAACCUCCUUAAUCUGUGUUCAUGGCACAUCAACGAGUGUGACUGGGGAGUGCUGGCAAAUCUACAGUUGAACUGCCUAAUAAUUUGUGGCAUCAGAACCAUGCAGGAGACAAACAAAAUGACUUAGACCUUCUGUGUGAUCUCACGAGGGUUGUGUUGUAGGGCUCCUGUAAUAAGAAAUGGAGGUCUCAUCAUGUUUCCCCGGCUGGU